rnacentral:rRNA from 1 species
AACGAACGCUGGCGGCAGGCUUAACACAUGCAAGUCGAGCGCCCCGCAAGGGGAGCGGCCGACGGGUGAGUAACGCGUGGGAACGUACCUUUUGGUUCGGAACAACUCCGGGAAACUGGAGCUAAUACCGGAUAAGCCCUAACGGGGAAAGAUUUAUCGCCGAAAGAUCGGCCCGCGUCUGAUUAGCUAGUUGGUGAGGUAACGGCUCACCAAGGCGACGAUCAGUAGCUGGUCUGAGAGGAUGAUCAGCCACACUGGGAUUGAGACACGGCCCAGACUCCUACGGGAGGCAGCAGUGGGGAAUAUUGGACAAUGGGCGCAAGCCUGAUCCAGCCAUGCCGCGUGAGUGAUGAAGGCCUUAGGGUUGUAAAGCUCUUUUGUCCGGGAAGAUAAUGACUGUACCGGAAGAAUAAGCCCCGGCUAACUUCGUG